UACGUAGGGUGCGAGCGUUGUCCGGAAUUAUUGGGCGUAAAGGGCGCGUAGGUGGCCGAGCAAGGUCGCGGUGAAAGCCCGGGGCUCAACCCCGGGUCGGCCGUGGCAACUACUUGGCUUGAGCACUGUAGGGGCGGGUGGAAUUCCGGGUGUAGCGGUGAAAUGCGUAGAUAUUGGGAGGAACACCAGUGGCGAAGGCGGCUCACUGGACCGGAACUGACGCUGAGGCGCGAAAGCGUGGGGAGCAAACAGG
rnacentral:rRNA from 1 species